rnacentral:rRNA from 1 species
GUGAGGAAUAUUGGUCAAUGGGCGCAAGCCUGAACCAGCCAUGCCGCGUGCAGGAAGACGGUCCUAUGGAUUGUAAACUGCUUUUAUUCGGGAAUAAACCUCUUUACGUGUAGGGAGCUGAAGGUACCGAAGGAAUAAGCACCGGCUAACUCCGUGCCAGCAGCCGCGGUAAUACGGAGGGUGCAAGCGUUAUCCGGAAUCAUUGGGUUUAAAGGGUCCGCAGGCGGGCUAUCAAGUCAGAGGUGAAAUCCCACAGCUUAACUGUGGAACUGCCUUUGAAACUGAUGGUCUUGAAUUAAGUGGGCGUUGGCGGAAUAUGACAUGUAGCGGUGAAAUGCAUAGAUAUGUCAUGGAACACCGAAAGCGAAGGCAGCUAACGAUACUUAUAUUGACGCUCAUGGACGAAAGCGUGGGUAGCGAACAGGAUUAGAAACCCGGGUAGUCC